rnacentral:rRNA from 1 species
AGCGAACGCUGGCGGCGUACUUAACACAUGCAAGUCGAACGAGGAUCAUCGGGUUAGCAAUAAUUCGGUGGUCCUAGUGGCGCACGGGUGAGUAACACGUGGGUGACCUGCCCUUGAGCUCGGGAUACCCCCUCGAAAGGGGGGCGUAAUACCGGAUACGUUCCUCGGUCGAAAGACUGAGGAGGAAAGGUGGCGCAAGCUGCCGCUCUUGGAGGGGCUCGCGGCCUAUCAGCUAGUUGGCGGGGUAACGGCCCACCAAGGCUAUGACGGGUAGCUGGUCUGAGAGGACGACCAGCCACACGGGGACUGAGACACGGCCCCGACUCCUACGGGAGGCAGCAGUGGGGAAUCUUGCGCAACGGUCGAAAGACUGACGCAGCGACGCCGCGUGCGGGAGGAAG